rnacentral:rRNA from 1 species
AGAGUUUGAUCCUGGCUCAGGACGAACGCUGGCGGCGUGCUUAACACAUGCAAGUGGAGCGACGAACCGGGGCUUGCCCCGGGGCAGAGCCGCGAACGGGUGAGUAACACGUGGGUUACCUACCCCGAUGACCGGGACAACCCGAGGAAACUCGGGCUAAUACCGGAUGUGGUCUUCGGACGAAAGGAAGCUUCGGCCUCCGCAUCGAGAUGGGCCCGCGGCCCAUUAGCUUGUUGGUGAGGUAACGGCUCACCAAGGCUUCGAUGGGUAGCUGGUCUGAGAGGACGAUCAGCCACACUGGGACUGAGACACGGCCCAGACUCCUACGGGAGGCAGCAGUGGGGAAUAUUGCGCAAUGGGCGAAAGCCUGACGCAGCGACGCCGCGUGGGGGAUGACGGCCUUCGGGUUGUAAACCUCUUUCAGCAGGGACGAAGUUGACGUGUACCUGUAGAAGAAGCGCCGGCUAACUACGUGCCAGCAGCCGCGGUAAUCAAUCGCC